UCUUUUAUAGGGCAUGGAUUCUUUUGGCAUUUGUUUCCCGAUUUUGUGUUCUGGGCAGUUUAUACCAUUUGAACGAUUAUUGAUGCUACGUGUUUUUCGUCUGUUCUUUUUACCGCUUUUCCACCCAAUUACUUUUCGAUUGUUGGCAUUUUUUUCAAUCUUUAUUUUGACGAAUUUGCUUUUCUUGCUCCGUUUCGAUCUAUCGUUACGUUCCUUUUCUUCCUUCUCCGUUUCCUUUUCUAAUCGCAGGUGAGAAUGUUCCACUAUCUUUUCAUGAACCCUAGAUGCAUGUUGAUAUUUCUGCUCUAAAUUGAUGGUGCAGGUUCACGAUUGAUGUGGUUGUCGGGUUCGGUGGUGUCACCGCCAUUAGCUCCAGCAUCCUCUACCUUCUACUUCUUCAUUUUAUCCCUUCUUAAUCGCCGGUGUCAGGUCUAAUUUUUGCCUGUCCAUAUCUCCUCUAUCAUCCUAUUUGCUUUUUUACAUAGCUUCUCCACCGUCCAGAUUCUCCGAUCUCGAUCGAUUUUUUUUAUAGGUUUCAUCAGAGAUAAGAGGUGGGAUUCGAUCCCUAUAAACACCAUGCAGUGACAAAUGACGACCAUUGCCGGUUGGUUUCAGGUGAAACAUCGACUUUCUGUAUGCCUCUCUUUCUACCGGCUUUCUGUACGUCCUCUUUCCAUAAUCGACAUUUUCUUGGAAGAGGAAGCCCUCGAUUUCCCGUUGUAGGCGUUAGGGCUUUUGGGUGUUCCUUGAUUUUGCGUCUUCCCUUCCUACUGAUUUCCUCCAUUUUGUGUCUUCCACGAUCUCUUCGUGGAUGGAAUGUGUAACUCCUUGAUUUCCCAUCACCAACAUCAGCUCCCUAACUUUUGUUCCUCUUCAGUUACUCUUCUAAAAAGCCCUAAAAUCGGUAACUGUCUCUUCAAACGUUUCCAGGAUUUUGCUCAUCAGUUUUUUCUCUCAGAAUCGCAUUCAUCUGUUCCUCCACUUAUAUCCUCCAAUGGUUUUCAACCAGCGAGAGAAGGGUUGAACGACGAGGAAGAUAAAUUUCUGAAGUCGGGUGGUUCUGAUUUGAAGUUCACAAAGCUUGCACUUGGAGCUUUCUCAUGAGGCCGUACCAGUUAUUGGAACAAUUUCAAAUAGGAUGUUCUCAUUUGGUACAAAAAAUUCUGAAGCACUACUAGGAAGGUAGUAGGAUUUCCUGCAAGAUUUUAAGUCAGAGUUUAAUAUUUAUGAGGAUGUUAUGCUUCAAAAGAUCAAAGGUUUGAUAAGCUUUUCUUUCCUGUUGCAUAUCUAUUUGCUACCAGUGGAGUUGUUUCGAUUUGCUAAAUAUAAUAUGAUGGUAUGUGGUAUAUUGGAAUCAAGGAAGGAAUUGAAUGGUUUAUUCCAUCGGAAUGUUGGAAGGAAUGGAAUAGGCUGUUCCGAUUCCUUUUGUUUUGUUACUUUCAUUCCUUAGCCAAUGUUUUUCUUUUUCAUUCCUUCAUGGAAUGAAAAAUUGGGAUAUAAACUAUUUUUAUUUAUGUCUGUCAUUGUUGAAUUACAUUCCAAGUUGAGCUUUUGAAAGAAUAUGACAACGUAUGCACACCCCGAGCUCUCUACCAGGAAGUGGGGAAUGUUUGGUAAAGUAGCUUACUAUCAUGAUAUUUGUGUUAUAUGUACGAUGUGAAUAGUAGCUGUGAUUAUUCAUCUUUCACUAAUGGACCUAUGGUAAUGACCAUUUUACCCUUCUUUCUUUUAAGUGUUUUGUAUGGAUCAUUUGAUUUUUUGGUAAAAAAAACAAUUACAUUCAUGGCUUGACCCUCCCUGAUAAACUUUUUAGGCUAUCCGAUGGUUAUGAUGAAAUCUAAAAGUAGAUUUCAGACCAUGAUGCUGAAAAGUUAUGCGUUCUUUGACAUCCAUUUUACAUUUUUUAUUAUUUAGUUUUUACUUAUAAUGAUCUAAAAUUGCAGCCAUCAGAUUUGGGUGAUGACGAAGAUGUUGAGUCGACUGUUCCAACUAUUCAAAGCCCUGAUUAAAAGGGUUCAUGGAAACUCAUAUUAAGGGUAUCUUGUGUUAGAAGGUGUGGAUUUAGAGGAGAGAUGGUUAAUGUCAAGCUUUAGGUCUUUAGUUAACUAUCUAAAGUACCAUUUGCAUUGUAUUUUUACAAAUUACUUAUUUAUUUGUGGAUACUAAUAUAAUUAAACUUUAAUCUACGUAUAUAAUCAUAUUUCAUAUUGUUAACAUACAACAA